AACCUCCGCAAUGUGAGAAAUCGCGACGGGGGGAUCCCAAGUGCCAUUCUUAACGGGAUGGCUUUUCUUAAGUGUAAAAAGCUUUUGGAAUAAGAGCUGGGCAAGACCGGUGCCAGCCGCCGCGGUAACACCGGCAGCUCUAGUGGUAGCUGUUUUUAUUGGGCCUAAAGCGUUCGUAGCCGGUUUGAUAAGUCACUGGUGAAAUCCUGUAGCUUAACUGUGGGAAUUGCUGGUGAUACUGUUGAACUUGAGGUCGGGAGAGGUUAGCGGUACUCCCAGGGUAGAGGUGAAAUUCUGUAAUCCUGGGAGGACCACCUGUGGCGAAGGCGGCUAACUGGAACGAACCUGACGGUGAGGGACGAAAGCUAGGGGCGCGAACCGGAUUAGAUACCCGGGUAGUCCUAGCCGUAAACGAUGCGGACUUGGUGUUGGGAUGGCUUUGAGCGCUCCGGUGCCGAAGGGAAGCUGUUAAGUCCGCCGCCUGGGAAGUACGGUCGCAAGACUGAAACUUAAAGGAAUU
rnacentral:rRNA from 1 species